UUCAUGUUUUUAACCAAACUUUCCGCUCUUCUUGUUUUUGCUCAUUGUUAAAAGAAGAUAGUUAAACGGUGAUGUUUGCUUGUAUUGGAAACUUUGUGGCGCCAAUUACGCUAUUUUCUAAUUUUACGUAAUUUGUUUAAUUAUUUUCGAAGAUGCCGGCGUUUUUGAAGCAUAUCGAAGUCGAGAACUUUAAAUCUUAUAAAGGAAAGCUUAUUAUCGGGCCAUUGAAAUCUUUUACGGCAGUUGUUGGCCCCAAUGGAUCUGGAAAGUCUAACUUUAUGGAUGCUAUAAGUUUUGUUAUGGGUGAGAAAACUAGCAGCUUGCGAGU